rnacentral:lncRNA from 1 species
CCGCGGUGUCUGGCGCUCGGUGGGUGUGGUUGCCCCUAGUUUGAGGCCUGCCCGAUUACCCGCAAGACUUGGGCAGCCCCGGGCGCCGCUCCGACCACGACAGGGAAAGGAACUGACCAACACUGGAUGAAUUUGACCAUUUCUUAGGAGACUGGAAUGUUAAGUUUCUAUAAAUGAAUGAACCAGUUCUCUCUUGUUUGGAGCAAUGCUGAAAUUCCAAGAGGCAGCUAAGUGUGUGAGUGGAUCAACAGCCAUUUCCACUUAUCCAAAGACCUUGAUUGCAAGAAGAUACGUGCUUCAACAAAAACUUGGCAGUGGAAGUUUUGGAACUGUCUAUCUGGUUUCAGACAAGAAAGCCAAACGAGGAGAGGAAUUGAUGAACAGUACCUCCUCCUUUGUGCACCCUCCCACCAUUUUCUGGUAGAAGUUC